rnacentral:misc_RNA from 1 species
AACGCACCUUGCGCUCCUUGGUAUUCCUCGGAGCAUGCCUGUUUGAGUGUCAUGAAUAUAUCAACCCCCAAUUGGUUCCCACCAUUUGGCUGGUUGGAAUUGGAGGUUGCCGAGUUCCUCGGCUCCUCUCAAAUGCAUUAGCUGGAACCUCACAUGCAUCUCCAGUGUGAUAAUAUCAACUCUGGUUGGUCAUGGGUUUUGUUGUUCACGCAACUUAACGAAGAGGCUCUGCUUCCAAUCGUCCUGUCAAGGACAAUUUUUUCAUCUGACCUCAAAUCAGGUAGGACUACCCGCUGAACUUAA